GAAUAGGAAAUUUAAGGGCGUAUGGUGGAUGCCUUGACUCUGACAAGCGAAGAAGGACGCGAGCUGGCGGCGAUACGCUCCGGGGAGGUGCCGAGCAACCUUUGAUCCGGAGAUGUCCGAAUGGGGAAACCUAUCCGAUUUAUCGGAUACCGUGCCAUUUCGGUACGGUGCAUACCUGGGGAAGUAAAACAUUUCAGUACCCAGAGGAAAAGAAAACAAUGAUCGCAAGAUCGCAAUCUCCCGAGUAGCGGCGAGCGAAACGGAAACAGCCCAAACCGAUCACAAACUUUGCGCACAAGUCUUUGCGCGUGAAGUUUGUGAUCGGUGUUGUAAGGCGGCAGCGUCGAUAUUUAUAUCGAGAAAAGUCACAAAACGUGGUGGUAGCAGAAUCUGCUGGGAAGCAGAACCCGAGGGGGUAAUAGUCCCGUAAGCGAAACUACUCACGUCUUUUUUGUUGCCGUUCUUGAGUACCUCAGGACACGAAUAGCUUGAGGGAAUCCGCCGGUACUAACCGGCAAGGCUAAAUAUUGUCAGAGAUCGAUAGUGAACUAGUACCGUGAGGGAAAGGUGAAAAGCAGCCCGGUGAGGGCGGUGAAAUAGACCUGAAACCAUAUGCCUACAAGGAGUCGGAGCGGGUCGCACGUUGCACAGAAAAAAUUCCGUGCAGUGUGCGGUCCGUCACGGCGUGCCUAUUGAAGAAUGAGCCAACGAGUUGAUCUGCGAAGCAGGCUAAGCCCUUUACGGGCGGAGCCACAGGGAAACCGAGUGUGAAUAGCGCGUUUGUUUUCCAGAUCAGACCCGAAGCCAGAGCGAGCUUGUCUUGAACAGGGUGAACCCGCCAGAAAUGGCGGGGGAGGCCCGCACCGGUUAGCCGUGCAAUACUAUCGGAUGAUUUGAGACAAGAAGUGAAAAGCUAACCGAGCCUGGGAAUAGCUGGUUCUCUCCGAAAUAGCUCUAGGGCUAGCGUUAUAUGUACCUUCCGGGGGUAGAGCACUGGAAGGUCUUGACAGGUAGAAAUACCGCAAGACCUAUCAAACUCCGAAUACCGAGAAGUAACAUUGUAUAGCAGUUAGACUGUGGAGGCUAAGCCCCAUGGUCAAAAGGGAAACAGCCCGCAUCUCUAUUUAAGGUCCCAAAAUUCAUGUUCAGUACACUGAAGGUGGUAAUUUUUCUUUGACAGUAAGGAGGUUGGCUUAGAGGCAGCCAUCCUUUCAAGAUAGCGUAACAGCUCACUUACUCAGAGAUUUUGCGCCGCAGAUGAUCGGGGUUAAACAUGAUACCGAAACUGAGGAUUGUAUCCGCGUUCGCGCGGGUGCAGUGGUAGGAGAGUAUUCAACUCCGCGAUGAAGCCGAAGCCGAGAGGCACGGUGGAGCGUGUUGAAGGAAGAAUGUUGGCACAAGUAACCACAAUGCGGGUGAGAACCCCGCACACCGAAAAACCGAGGUUUCCUUCGCGAUGACAAUCAGCGAAGGGUUAGUCGGGCCUAAGGCAAUGGCGAGAGCCGCAGCCGAUGGACACAUGGUUAAUAUUCCAUGACUUGUAUAUGUUGCGAUGGGAGGACGGAGUGUAGUAUCGCGCGCGCAUUAUUGGAUUUGCGCUCGUGGUGUGAUCGUGAUCUCCAGGUAAAUCCGGAGACUUCCUUGAAUGGUAUGCGAAAGCACAGCGAAAAUUCUGCGGUUCGCCGCGGAAAAUAUGCGAAAGCACGCUUCCAAGAAAAUUCUCUAAGCAUAAACGUGUACAAACCGUACCGCAAACCGACACAGGUGGUUUGCUCGAGAAGAGUAAGGUGAACGAGUGAUAGAUCUUCAAGGAACUCGGCAAAAAAGCAGCCGUAAGUUAGCGAUAAGGCUCGCCCCGACCUCUGGUCGGGGCUGCAACAAAAGCACUCCUGCCAACUGUUUAUCAAAAACACAGCUCCCUGCGAAGUCGCAAGACGAUGUAUAGGGGGUGACACUUGACCAAUGCCAGAAGGUCAACCAACGACGUUGCAUGUCGCAAGAUAUGUGGUGAUUGUUGUAAGCCCUGGUGAAUGUCGGCCGUAACUAUAACGGUCCUAAGGUAGCGAAAUUCCUUGUCUGGUAAGUUCAGACGCGCUUGAAAAGUGUAAUGAGUUGGGGACUGUCUCGAAGAUCAGCUCGGUGAAAAUGCAAUACCGGUGAAGAUGCCGGUUACCUGCAGUUAGACGAAAAGACCCUAGGAGCUUUACUACAGCUUGAUAUUGAGUGCAUGUUUCCCCUGCGUAGCGUAGACGGGAGGAUUUGAAGUGUUUCUUUCGGGGAGCAUGGAUCCGACAGUGAAAUACCGUUCUGGUUGAAUAUGCAUUCUAAUCUUUGCGGCAAAAACGCAUAGAAACAGUAUUUGGCGGGUAGUUUUAGUGGGGCGCUAUCCUCCUAAAGAGUAACGGAGGAGUCUAUCAAGGUCGGCUAGGCGCGAAUGGAAACCGUGCCGAUAGCAUAUUGGCAAAUGCCGGCUUAACUGCGAGACGUACAUGUCGAGCAGGUGCGAAAGCAGAGCAAAGUGAACCGACGGUCCGUGUUAGACGCGGCCGAAGAUUAUCGGACAAAAGCUACCCUAGGGAUAACAGGCUAGUUCCGCCUAAGAGUUCAUAUCGACGGCGGAGUUCGGCACCUCGAUGUCGGCUCAUCUUAUCCUCCCGGUGGAGAAGCUGGGAAGGGUUUGGCUGUUCGCCAAUUAAAAAGAUACGCGAGCUGGGUUCAAACCGUUCAGAGGGCAAAAAUUAUUUGCCAUUUGGACAGUUUGAAUCCCAUCAAGGAUUGUUAUACAGAACUGGAAUUUUUUUCGUCUAGAAACUCACAACAGGAUGAGCAAUUUUGUUGUGGGCAUAAAAGAAAGAAGACACAAUCACAUCACGGCGGUUGAAGUAACAUUCAAUCAAGCUGGUUCAUAUCGGUGGAAUCCUGAAAGGGACAAUACCGAGGGAAGUCGAGAAGACGCCCGUAGAGACUAAACACCAGCGCUGAAAUUUAUUUUUCAGCAAGCUAUAGUCCAAUGCAUUCAGUAAUGAAUGGGAACAUGCGUGAGACAGGUUGGUCUCCUAUCUACUGCAGGCGUGGAAUGUUGAGGAGAUUUGACUAUAGUACGAGAGGACCUAGUUGAACGCACCUCUGGUCUAUCUGUUGUUCCUGCCAAGGGCACCGCAGAGUAGCUAUGUGCGGAACGGAUAAACUCUGAAAGCAUCUAAGAGUGAAGCCGUCUCCAAGAUGAGCAUUCGUUAUCAGGACCCUCCGAGAUGAGGAGGUUGAUAGGCUCCAGCUGUAAGCGCAGUAAUGCGUUCAGGCGAAGAGUACUAAUGAUCCGAUUCUUAUUCGG
rnacentral:rRNA from 1 species